UACGAAGGGGGCUAGCGUUGUUCGGAAUUACUGGGCGUAAAGCGCACGUAGGCGGCUUUUUAAGUCAGGGGUGAAAUCCCGGGGCUCAACCCCGGAACUGCCCUUGAAACUGGAGAGCUAGAAUCUUGGAGAGGCGAGUGGAAUUCCGAGUGUAGAGGUGAAAUUCGUAAAUAUUCGGAAGAACACCAGUGGCGAAGGCGACUCGCUGGACAAGUAUUGACGCUGAGGUGCGAAAGCGUGGGGAGCAAACAGG
rnacentral:rRNA from 1 species